UACGUAGGGGGCAAGCGUUGUCCGGAAUCAUUGGGCGUAAAGCGCGUGUAGGCGGCCCGGUAAGUCCGCUGUGAAAGUCGGGGGCUCAACCCUCGAAUGCCGGUGGAUACUGUCGGGCUAGAGUGCGGGAGAGGCGAGUGGAAUUCCUGGUGUAGCGGUGAAAUGCGCAGAUAUCAGGAGGAACACCGGUGGCGAAGGCGGAUCUCUGGGCCGAUACUGACGCUGAGGAGCGAAAGCGUGAGGAGCGAACAGG
rnacentral:rRNA from 1 species